rnacentral:lncRNA from 1 species
UGGACUUGCAUGAGGAGAAUGAUUGUGUGGAUAUACAUACAGAAAUAACAAAUAUGUCCCGCUGCGUUAUGUGGCCUGUAAACAGGUAAUAACAACCUCGGCCCUCGACUUCAUGCACGGCAGCUUACGUUGUAGUAGCGCUGCAUGGUAGCGACAAUGCCGCCGCCAUCAUACCACCAUUGCCGUACAGUGUUCGCGUUCAGGGCGGGGAGCACACCGCAAGACGUGCUCUUGAAAACAAACGUCAGUGAGCUGAUGUUUUGCGGCUGCCCAUUCACGACGAACAGAUCCUGGACAAUCAUCCGGCAGGGUGUGGGGCAACACCAGAUUAGCCUCAAAUCUCACAGCGCAACA